rnacentral:rRNA from 1 species
GACGAACGCUGGCGGCGUGCUUAACACAUGCAAGUCGAACGGAAAGGCCCUGCUUUUGUGGGGUGCUCGAGUGGCGAAGGGGUGAGUAACACGUGAGUAACCUGCCCUUGACUUUGGGAUAACUUCAGGAAACUGGGGCUAAUAUCGGAUAGGAGCUCCUGCUGCAUGGUGGGGGUUGGAAAGUUUCGGCGGUUGGGGAUGGACUCGCGGCUUAUCAGCUUGUUGGUGGGGUAGUGGCUUACCAAGGCUUUGACGGGUAGCCGGCCUGAGAGGGUGACCGGCCACAUUGGGACUGAGAUACGGCCCAGACUCCUACGGGCGGCAGCAGGGGGGAAUAUUGCACAACGGGCGGAAGCCUGUUGCAGCAACGCCGCGUGCGGGAUGACGGCCUUCUGGUUGUAAACCGCUUUCGCCUGUGACGAAGCGUGAGUGACGGUAAUUGGUAAAGAAGCACCGGCUAACUACGUG